rnacentral:sRNA from 1 species
AUGUUAUCGAUAGUCCGGUGGUACCCAAACUAUUCGAUAGUGAUGCACUCCACAUGCACAUGUUGCCAUCAUAUAAAUCUUGGACUUUUGGCUUUUAUACAUAUUUUGCAUAAUGGGUGCUACUUUGGCGAGGAUGAUUACCCCGUCUUACUGUCGACGCGCAUUACCAGUGAAUCUAGUGAAGUGAUUUACAAUAGUUAAAAUGAUGGAUACCCAGCUUAUUAAAGGCGACCGAAAAUUUGUUUGCGAGCGGCCAGGUGAAGCAUACUGAGCUGUUUUGUUGGUUUUCGUACAGACGCUGCUUACUCGGACUUACUGGGUAAAGAAUUUUGCUGUGCCUAGGCAAACCAGGUUUGGUCGAGGAACACAGCGAUAAUGCGAUAUUGGUGCCAGUGGAUAGGACGCCCAACGAGGAACUACUCUUGCGCAAAAGUUGUAGUAGCUGUUUGGAAAUACAGAACGUUUGCGUAUUACGAGACCCAAGUGCCUGGAAAGCAGGAGGACAAAUACCUUUAACGUAGACUAGUGACACAUAAAGUUGCUCGCUGUGAUACGAGGUGGCAUUCGGAUAUAUUACUUAUAUGAUGUUGGAGCUUUUAAAACAAUGAUCUGGUGUUCGCAAUUCUAUUUUGGACCCUGAGGCAGACUGUUUGCUCUUUAUCUCCCGCCUGUGUAUAACCAAGUAACCUGAUAGUAUUGCCAACUCCUGGUGAGAUGGGGUCAUGGGCUGUGGACUUCGUCGGGUAUCCUGCUACUGCCAUGCCCUCCAGAUUGCUAGUAAUCACAUCUUGACUGCCAAUUUAAGGACUACAAGGACCUCUAAAAGUGACAAAGGACAUUUUUCCAGGAUCUUACUGUUAUUAAGCCAG